GGGGCUGUAGCUCAAAGGUAGAGCACUUGCCUUGCAUGUGUGAGAACCUGGGUUUGAUCCUCAGCACCA
rnacentral:tRNA from 1 species